AGAGCCAUCCAAGAUACUAACAUGCUAAGAAGUGUAAUAAGUGCUGAGAGAAAUUUGGUACGACGUUCAGCACAAGAUAGUCCAUCAGGAGGAGGAGGAGCUAAAGCAGGCUUUGGAUUUGGAUUUGGAAUUGAAGGAGGAGCAGGAAUGGGAGGAGGAUCUGGAAAAAAAUAAAUGCAAUCACAAAAUAUAUAUCGUCAAUCUGAUGUCGAUUAUGCUGCUAAAUAAUAGAUCGAAGAUAUCCAUAUCAAUUUCUUCUUCUAUGCGGAUAUUAUAUCGAUUCAACAUUAUUUUACAGUAUAUGUACAGCUGAUUGGAUUUCUCACUUACAAAUGGCACAUCUUAUGCACGAAUUAAAAGAGAAACCUCGAUGAUUAUAGAGCAAUAAACUUUAGCACUUCGCACAGCAAA